rnacentral:lncRNA from 1 species
CAGAAAGACAAAAAGACUUGAUGGAAUGUUGGAAUGUCACUUCCAAGAAUUCCCACAUUCUUGAAAGUCUGUUACUGUGGCCAUAGACACUGCCCGAGGGAAACUUGGUGGAAUGAGUGGAGAUUGGUCGGGACAUGUCUAAGGAGCCAGGUAGAAAACAACCAGAGCAUUGAAGAUCGGAUUGUCAUUUUUAUCAUGGAUUUGUAUGAAUGACAGAGAAGAACGCAAUUUACCAUGGCCCGGGUGGGCAGAGAGCAUGAGUAGAGAAUGUUAACCACGGAAGCCUUCCUGGAGGAACUAAUGUCUAGCAUGAUCCGGAAGAGCUCUUCCUCCCCCAGUGAGACACAGACCCAUGGACUUACAGCAGCCCAAGCAGCCACUGCCACAGAGAGCCCAGAGAGCUGUCUGAGACCACAAUACAAAGCACCUUCCCCCUUCCUGGAAACAAAGCAAGAUAAAAUAUGGACUUAAACCAAACAAGCGCCAUCUCUUCUCUCU